GCAAAUGGACAAAGUGUAUACAGAAAUCGAGUGAUUAUGUCAAAAAAUGAUGUAUGUCUUUUUUGACAAUUGCUUAAAAUAAAUUCUACACCGACAGAGCGGGCUGUUAAUCUAGAGGCUGGAGUACAAAGAAGUGGCACAAUGAUGUGGGCUGAUGACAUUUAUAAUUAUCAAGGAAUCACCCCUACAUUCGCUCAGAAUUUUAAUGAAACUGUCCCUUGGGAAGGAAGAACUGAUACCUUGAUAUCACGGUUUGUACAUCCUAUAUAUACGACAAAUUUUAGAACAUUAUAUAACGAAGAACCAGAUCGUCGUGGCCAUGUGAUGUGAAUAAAAGGACUUGAAUUUGAUGAUAUUUUUAUAAUGUUAGAUAACAUAACUAAGUAUCUUCACAGUAAGAUAGGAUGACAUGGUUUACAUGAUCUUAAUGUUGUUCACUCGAGUGAUGAUAUUAUAAGGAAAAGCGUAAUAUCACAGGAUAUUUAUGUUUAGUAACCAGUAAUUCAGAGAUUGGUAUUCAUGGUUACUAUAACGAGGCUGUAGAAACGCACCCUUUCUUCUUUGCAAAUGGUCCUGUAUUUAUGUCUAAGCCGAAACUGGAACCUCUGAAUAAUUUAGAUUUAUUCUUGUUAUUUUCUAAAAUACUUAUCUACAGUAUACCAUAAGGAAUGAUACCGUAUCGCACCUAAUCAAGUGCCUUAAGAAACAUCAACAGGA